CUCUGCCGCCCUCACUGCCACCAUCGCACGAACUAGAGGAGGAGGAGAGCCAUCAUGUUGCGUGCAAAAGGGAGAUUGAAGCUGUUGCAUGUGGAGGAGAGGAACGGUGUCGCGGUUGGGGCUGGGAUCUUCUGCCACCCGCUGGGUCACCCACUGCCAUCGCUGUUCUGAAGUUGUCAGGUCACCACGAGGAUCCGAUGCAAGGAGAGGGAAACAGAAACGCAGAUGGAAGAGAGAAAAGGGAGUCACCGCAGCUGCUGAACUGACAAAGCCACUUCUGAGCUGCCGCAGCCAUUGUCGGAGUUCUUAGCUGCCGCCACUGCCGUUGGUAAAUAGUAUUCUUGCUUUCGAUUCCCAUCCUUUCAAUUUCAAGGGAUAUGGUUAUCACUGCGAUGUUAUUGCAGCUGCCACUGAGGUUUUCCACCAUCACUAGAGCCGCUGUGGGGACAGUUUGGAGUUGCUGCCAUUGCUUCGUCUCCAUGUUUCUCUUUUGUUAAGUUCGAGUUCCGGUUGUUGUGUGUCGCGCUUAGAGUUGUGGUUGCUGCUACGGAUAGUGGAUAAAGCUGAGAUUACGGCUGCUGCUGUCGCUGGUCAAGGAAAAGGGAUUUUUGACGCAUUUUGGUUUUGCGAGUUUCGACUUUAAGGUAGGGGUUUUCUUAAAAUUUAUUUUAUAUUACAGAGUUGUGAUAAAUAGAUAUUGGUGUAAAGAGAUUUACUUCUGUGAUUAUAUUUGUCUUGUGGAUGUGAUGGUUUGUUGGACUGAAUUAUUGGGUGCUUGAUUGCGUGAGUGGUGUGUGAUUGUGGAUAAAAACCGGUUUGGAAUGUCAUUUACUUGAUUAUUAAGAAAGGUGGAUUUUCUUGGUUUCAUAGUUUACUUAGUA